rnacentral:rRNA from 1 species
GACGAACGCUGGCGGCGUGCCUAAUACAUGCAAGUAGAACGCUGAAGGAGGAGCUUGCUUCUCUGGAUGAGUUGCGAACGGGUGAGUAACGCGUAGGUAACCUGCCUGGUAGCGGGGGAUAACUAUUGGAAACGAUAGCUAAUACCGCAUAAGAGUAGAUGUUGCAUGACAUUUGCUUAAAAGGUGCAAUUGCAUCACUACCAGAUGGACCUGCGUUGUAUUAGCUAGUUGGUGGGGUAACGGCUCACCAAGGCGACGAUACAUAGCCGACCUGAGAGGGUGGUCGGCCACACUGGGACUGAGACACGGCCCAGACUCCUACGGGAGGCAGCAGUAGGGAAUCUUCGGCGAUGGACGGAAGUCUGACCGAGCAACGCCGCGUGAGUGAAGAAGGUUUUCGGAUCGUAAAGCUCUGUUGUAAGAGAAGAACGAGUGUGAGAGUGGAAAGUUCACACUGUGACGGUAUCUUACCAGAAAGGGACGGCUAACUACGUG